rnacentral:rRNA from 1 species
AUUGAACGCUGGCGGCAUGCCUUACACAUGCAAGUCGAACGGUAACAGGUCUUCGGAUGCUGACGAGUGGCGAACGGGUGAGUAAUACAUCGGAACGUGCCUAGUAGUGGGGGAUAACUACUCGAAAGAGUGGCUAAUACCGCAUGAGAUCUACGGAUGAAAGCAGGGGAUAGCAAGACCUUGUGCUACUAGAGCGGCCGAUGGCAGAUUAGGUAGUUGGUGGGAUAAAAGCUUACCAAGCCGACGAUCUGUAGCUGGUCUGAGAGGACGAUCAGCCACACUGGGACUGAGACACGGCCCAGACUCCUACGGGAGGCAGCAGUGGGGAAUUUUGGACAAUGGGCGCAAGCCUGAUCCAGCAAUGCCGCGUGCAGGAUGAAGGCCUUCGGGUUGUAAACUGCUUUUGUACGGAGCGAAAAGGUCUCCUCUAAUACAGGGGGCUCAUGACGGUACCGUAAGAAUAAGCACCGGCUAACUACGUGCCAGCAGCCGCCGCGG